rnacentral:rRNA from 1 species
GAUUUCUGAAUAAUUAGUUUUUAGUCGGCUGCGGUUUCGUAUGUUAGUACUGUCAACUUUGUUCAUCCUUCCAAUAAUCGCUUAUCGACUAUUCUUCAUUGAAUUGGUUGAUAGGUAUUGGAUCUUUUACUUUGAAAAAAUUAGAGUGUUUCAAGCAGGCUUUUAAUGCUAUGAAUACAUUAGCAUGGAAUAAUAAUUUAGGACUUCGGUUCUAUUUUGUUGGUUUCUAGGACUGAAGUAAUGAUUGAUAGGGAUAGUUGGGGGUGCUAGUAUUCAGCGGCCAGAGGUGAAAUUCUCGGAUUCGCUGAAGACUAACUUAUGCGAAAGCAUU